rnacentral:rRNA from 1 species
GACGAACGCUGGCGGCGUGCCUAACACAUGCAAGUCGAGCGGAGAUGAUGUGAGGAAGUUUUCGGAUGGAAUCACAUUAUUUUAGCGGCGGACGGGUGAGUAACGCGUGAGCGACCAACCUUGCACAGGGGGAUAACGGGCCGAAAGGUUCACUAAUACCGCAUGACACCACAGUGUUGCAUGACACAGAGGUCAAAGGAGCAAUCCGGUGCAAGACGGGCUCGCGUCCGAUUAGGUAGUUGGUGGGGUAACGGCCCACCAAGCCUGUGAUCGGUAGCCGACCGGAGAGGGUGAUCGGCCACAUUGGAACUGAGAUACGGUCCAAACUCCUACGGGAGGCAGCAGUGGGGAAUAUUGGGCAAUGGGGGAAACCCUGACCCAGCAACGCCGCGUGAAGGAAGAAGGUUUUUGGAUUGUAAACUUCUGUCCUUGGUGAAGAGAAGAAGACGGUAGCCAAGGAGGAAGCCCCGGCUAACUACGUGCCAGCCGCCGCGGUAA